CUGCCACCCACCUGAGCUCCACCGUCCACCACCAAACCCAACCAUCCACCACCAACCUCGCCACCGACCGCGCUUCGCCAUCAAUGGCCUCCGCCGCCGUGUCCCAUUUCGGGAAGUGACGAAACCGACCCCUCCUGACUCUCCAGCCCGCCCGAGCCUAUCUAAGCACUGCCACCGUCCUCGCCUAACCCCGCCGACCAUCCCGUCGACCCCAACGACCUCGCCACCGUCCUCCGUUGCCAUUAAAGGCCGCCGUCAAGGUCGGUCGGAGCAGCCCCGGAUGAACUGACUUGGCUAGGCUAUAAAAGCCACCUCAGGCCCCCUCAUGAUAGCAGCACCAACCCUCCCUUUCCCUUCACGAGCCUCCCCAAGCACCAAACCGACAGGAGUGGUCGUCCGCUUCAACUCCGACUGUUUCGGCCGCCGCCAACCUCCGGUCGAUUCUGACGCAACUAGGGACUCCUCCCUCUCUUUAUCUCUACCAUUAGAAUCUUUGUGGUCCCUCUAACCCACCCCACUCGUCAUUUUUUCUCGGGAAGUGUCGUAGGCAAAAUCCCCGAUUUGGCUCCGCCGGAACAUCUCGGGAGAGCUCGCCGCUGGCGGCUACGUCCCUCCCAGAGACUGUUGCGCACCUCCACCUGACCGCUACGAGUCCCUAAGAAUGAUGGUGCGGUCUUCUUCCGUCGCCAUGCCCCCAAUCACCGGCGAGGGUCGUCAAGAGCCCCUCCUCCGCUCGGCCAGAGGAGGGAGAAGGCCGGUUUGACCAGGGCCAAACCCGACCGAAGGUCCCCGCGCGUCAGUGACUAGGGCGUGCCUGAGCCAUCCUAAGUGAUGGCAUAUUUCGGAAAGAAAAUGGAGGGAAGAUUAUUUUUACAAACUUUUGGAGUGCACCCAACUCUUCUACAUCACCAAGAUUUACGAUUCAGAGAGGAGUACUACGAAGACACCCCGCAACCUAGAAAAUGGAGAUAGCAGCCACGUGAGAUAGAAGUUAGCCAGGCCAGUUGUUCCUGUGGGAAUGGAGUUCCAUCAACGUUGGAGAUCGACGAGUCGCUUUCGUCAUCCACCACUAGAGAUCAUUGUUAUACUCAAUGGGCCUUUAUAUGGUCUUGUACCCAAAUUCUUCUAAACUGGUUGGAAUUCUGUAUCAAGGAAAUGUCCACCAGCAACAGUAAUCCUGGGGUUGAUGAUGACAUAAGGGUCAUUUGCUGGGAUUUUAUGUCCUGAAAAACCAGCCCUGACAGCAUCCAAUCAUCUCGGUUGGUGCGGGCUGGCUAUUUAUAGCCAUAACAAUCCUGGAGAGGAAAUGCUAUAAGGGCUUGGAGCCAAUCCAAUAGCCAACCAACACGUUUCCAACAGUCGGAUUUCAAAUGCACCCGACAAUUUUACUUGAGGAACAAGUAAAGCUGACUCCUCUACCAGAGUAUUUCUCUUGCAGCCUAGAAGAAUAUCUAGCUCGCGAGUAAAUAUCUCGACGCACUUCUCUUGCAGCCUAGAAGAACAUCUAGCUCGCGAGUAAAUAUCUCGACGCACGAAGAGAUUUCUAUCGACUCACAUGGGAUAAGUUUCGGUUAAGCAUCAUAAUAGACAAAAGUCCGGAGAUACUUGAACCCCUCUUAAUCAUACAGUGGUCCUAUGACUCAAAAGAAGGAAAUGAAACAAUGGAAUAAAUGCUAUGUUUUUACUUUGUCUUCAUUCUUCUCUGCUUCAAUCAUUUUCUAUUGGACACCUCGCGUAUAAAUUGCUUCACGUCAGCAACAUUUUUAGGCCAACUCCGACACGCAUUCUUCUCGGUUGCAAACUCCUCAAAGCUCAUCAAUCUUCUUUGCAGCUCAGAUAACACUCUCGGAAGUUUACAGCAAACUUCUCUGAAGAUUAUAGCAAUCUUCUCGAAACUCCAGGGACUACUUUCUUUCUAUGUGCACUAACAAAAUUCAGUCCCUCAAUGUUUCUGACAACAAUAUCCAAAACACAAGGGGACAUUGGACUGCACCAACUGUUGUUUUUGCUCCAUCGUGUCCGCAACACCACAUAGCUCCUGCUACAAGUAGAUGACAUAAUUCUCACCAUCAGCUCUUCCACCUUUCUGAAAUCCAUCACCACCUUGCUGCACCGUGAAUUCGCCAUGACCGAUAUGGAUUCUCUCCACCACUUUCUUGGGAUCAAUGCAUCACAACAGUACCGGUCUCCACCUUUCUCAAGAACAGUAUGCCCUAGACAUUUUAGAUCGUCACGGCGAUGUUAAACUGCAAGUUGGUCUCUACGCCCAUCGACAUCAAUGCAAAAUUAUCCUCUACAGAUGGUGUCCUUUACAUGAUCC
rnacentral:rRNA from 1 species